rnacentral:rRNA from 1 species
AGACCGAUAGCGAACAAGUAGAGUGAUCGAAAGGUUAAAAGCACCUUGAAAAGGGAGUUAAACAGCACGUGAAAUUGUUGAAAGGGAAGCGCUUGCGGCCAGAUUCGGGGGCGGGGUUCAGCGGGUGCUCGUCGCCCGUGUAUUCCUCGUCUCCCGGGCCAGCAUCAGUUUCGACGGCCGGUCAAAGGCCCCCGGAAUGUGUCGUCUCUCGGGACGUCUUAUAGCCGGGGGUGCAAUGCGGCCCGUCGGGACUGAGGAACGCGCUCCGGCUCGGAUGCUGGCGUAAUGGCCGUAAGCGGCCCGUCUUGAAACACGGACCAAG